UACGUAGGGACCGAGCGUUGUCCGGAAUCAUUGGGCGUAAAGAGCGUGUAGGCGGCUAUUUAAGUCCUGCGUGAAAUCCUGCGGCUCAACCGCAGACGGUCGUGGGAAACUGGAUGGCUAGAGUGCGGGAGAGGAGAGUGGAAUUCCUGGUGUAGCGGUGAAAUGCGCAGAUAUCAGGAGGAACAUCGGUGGCGAAGGCGGUUCUCUGGGCCUUACCUGACGCUGAGGAGCGAAAGCGUGGGGAGCAAACAGG
rnacentral:rRNA from 1 species